rnacentral:rRNA from 1 species
AUGGGAUCAUCGCCAAGCCACUCACGCAACUGCUCACUAAGAAAGGAUUUCUCUGGUCUGAACAAGCCCAGGUCGCCUUUGACCUCCUCAAACAAGCUAUGGUCAAUACCCCGGUCUUGGCACUGCCCGAUUUCCAUCAAAACAGAUGCUUGCGACACCGGAGUGGGCGUGGUGCUAGUCCAAGAUGGUCACCCAGUGGCAUAUCUCAGCAAGGCAUUGGGGGUCUGCAAUCAGCGUCUGUCCAUCUACGAGAAAGAGUUUCUCGCUGUCAUCAUGGCCGUUGAAAAAUGGUGUGCCUAUCUGCAGAGAGCCCCCUUUGUCAUUAUCACUGAUCACAAAAGUUUGUGUAGUUUGGGAGAUCAACAGUUGGAAACGGAGCUUCAGCGCAAGGCUAUGUCAAACAUGGUGGGGUUACAGUUCUCCUUCAGAUAUCGCCGGGGCCAAGAUAACGGCGCGGCAGAUGCCUUGUCCCGCGUCGGCCACUUACUGUCUGUCGAAGCACUGUCUGUCUGUCAGCCCCAAUGGCUUCAAGAGGUUGCUAACUCUUAUGAGACAGAUCCUGACGCGCAAGCCAUGUUGCAGUGA